AAAAAGACCAUGAUAAUAUUUGACUCGGUUGCAUUUGUUUCUUCAAAUAUAGUCCAUAUUAUUUACUGAUUAUUUCCUCUGCAAUCUGUUGCCUGCAAAUUUUGGUAUAAUACGUCAAUGUAAUUCCGUUUUUAGUCAUUGCGAAACUAGCAUUAAACAUAGUAACUCCGAUUAUUACAUUAUUUCCCCAUCCCAUCAAAUUUAAGUGGGAAAGAUAAACAAAUCACUGGAAUAUAACCUUCUAACAUGACAUUCUAAGGAAGCUACGACGUAGAAACAAGUAUAUAAUACGAUUCCAAUACGCAUAAUCACGAUAUUCGCACCAAAUGUACAUCAGACGAGCUGCAUUCCCCUAGUUUUCCAAACAUUUUUCUCCUCAAUCGAAGUUUUACAAAUCUCAUGCCGAUUUACUUCACUACUAACUUUUUCAAAAAAGGAAAAAAAAUAAAAAUCCUUAUCUGCUUUGAAGAACUGAUUAACAGUUGAGCAAGUGUACACUAAUUUGAUUUUUUAGGCGAGCAGAUAUAAAUUUUCAUUAAUUUGCAAAACCUUCCAAAAAAAAGCAACAGUGGUAAUGUUAACAAUGACAAAAUUACAGAUCAUUAUCAUAUAUUAUUUCCAUGAAAGGGGGAAAAGGGCACCGAGAAGAACAGAAACAAACUCACCCGGGUUAGGGUUUUUGAUCCGGAAAUUGUGACCCGUGUUGAUUCUCUCGCAAAUAAAUUCCGAACAAUCCGAAUGAAUACUGAUUCGUUGAUCGCCGUUUGAAAUAAUUCAAGUUCUGCAUACAUCUUUCAGCAUAAGAAAAUUUCCCGGGUUUAAUUAGUUUGGCGCG
rnacentral:lncRNA from 1 species